GCAUGAUUUAUCAGGCUCUGGGUGAUUUGACUGAGGGCUCAGCGUCUUCUGAUCAUGACACCAACGAAGUUGGGCAUGAGGACGAGAUUUAUUACACCCCUCAGUUGGACUACAAAUAUCCGCAGUGGUGCCAUGUACUUAAGCUGUCCAAUGGACAAGUGUCCUGUUCUUCUCC